UACGUAGGGUGCAAGCGUUGUCCGGAAUUAUUGGGCGUAAAGAGCUCGUAGGCGGCUUGUCACGUCGGGUGUGAAAGCCCCGGGCUCAACCCGGGAAUGGCAUUGGAAACUGGCUUGCUAGAGUGUGGCAGAGGGGGGGUGGAAUUCCGCGUGUAGCAGUGAAAUGCGUAGAGAUGCGGAGGAACACCGAUGGCGAAGGCAGCCCCCUGGGCUGACACUGACGCUCAGGCACGAAAGCGUGGGGAGCAAACAGGG
rnacentral:rRNA from 1 species